rnacentral:rRNA from 1 species
UCUGACCAGCCAUGCCGCGUGCAGGAAGACAGCCCUCUGGGUCGUAAACUGCUUUUAUUCGGGAAUAAACCUACUUACGUGUAAGUAGCUGAAUGUACCGAAGGAAUAAGGAUCGGCUAACUCCGUGCCAGCAGCCGCGGUAAUACGGAGGAUCCAAGCGUUAUCCGGAUUUAUUGGGUUUAAAGGGUGCGUAGGCGGCUUUUUAAGUCAGGGGUGAAAGACGGUAGCUCAACUAUCGCAGUGCCCUUGAUACUGAAGAGCUUGAAUGGACUAGAGGUAGGCGGAAUGUGACAAGUAGCGGUGAAAUGCAUAGAUAUGUCACAGAACACCGAUUGCGAAGGCAGCUUACUAUGGUUUAAUUGACGCUGAGGCACGAAAGCGUGGGGAUCAAACAGGAUUAGAUACCCUGGUAGUCCACGCCCUAAACGAUGAAUACUCGCUGUUAGCGAUACACAGUUAGCGGCUAAGCGAAAGCGUUAAGUAUUCCACCUGGGGAGUACGGUCGCAAGAUUGAAACUCAAAGGAAUUGACGGGGGCCCGCACAAGCGGAGGAGCAUGUGGUUUAAUUCGAUGAUACGCGAGGAACCUUACCCGGGCUUGAAAGUUAGUGAAUCAUUUAGAGAUAGAUGAGUGA